rnacentral:rRNA from 1 species
AGCGAACGCUGGCGGCAGGCUUAACACAUGCAAGUCGAACGGGCACUUCGGUGCUAGUGGCAGACGGGUGAGUAACACGUGGGAACGUACCUUUCGGUUCGGAAUAAUUCAGGGAGACUUGGACUAAUACCGGAUACGCCCUUCGGGGAAAGAUUUAUCGCCGAUAGAUCGGCCCGCGUCUGAUUAGCUAGUUGGUGAGGUAAUGGCUCACCAAGGCGACGAUCAGUAGCUGGUCUGAGAGGAUGAUCAGCCACAUUGGGACUGAGACACGGCCCAAACUCCUACGGGAGGCAGCAGUGGGGAAUAUUGGACAAUGGGCGCAAGCCUGAUCCAGCCAUGCCGCGUGAGUGAUGAAGGCCUUAGGGUUGUAAAGCUCUUUUGUCCGGGAAGAUAAUGACUGUACCGGAAGAAUAAGCCCCGGCUAACUUCGUGCCAGCCGCCGCCGUAAAAC